GGAAGAGAACGCGGCGGUGUGACAGAGUUAUUAAUGAUCAGAGUUUAAUAAAAAGAUCAGAUGAUCGGGUUUAAUCUCUGUCAGGAUGCCGCUGUUGACUCGGAAUAAGCGAAUAGAGCGCGUGAGCUCAGCCGCGGAGCUCUUCAGCAAACACCCGCAUCUGAAGGAGUGAACGUUAAAACGGGUCACGUGUUUCCAGCCUCGUUCACCUGUCGAGGACCAGCGGAGGAGCUCCGAUCCGCUCGCACCUUCUCUGGUGCACAGAUGGUUGACGUGUAUGACUCUAGCAGAGAGCUUGUGAAAAUCGACCCGUGCAGAUGGACACCAAACAUGGCCUUCUGGCUGUCCCAAGAUGAUGAAACCAUCCUACAGUAUUUGUCCACGUCUCCACAUGCAGAGCCUCCUCACUUCGUCCAUCACAUCAAAUCCACCAUCCAGUUUCUGCUGGAUCAUCCGACCGCAGACGGGCUGUUUCCGCAUCUGUACCGCCGCGCUGAGGACGGCCGCUGGAAGAGAGCCUAAACACUGACCUCUGACCUCUGUGACCCACUGUAACCAACCAAAGGCCUUUGACGUCUGCUGUUUAAAGCAGAAGCUCCUUUACACUGAUUUCAACUGAAACACGGCGACUGAAGCUCAGAUUGACUGUUUAAAGGGCCACUUCUACUUGAUGGUUUUACUAACACGUGUGUCAUUAACCGCACCUGCCGGCCCUUACAUACAAACAAGAGUCUAUGAACUAUUUGUUUUCAUUUUUAUUUCAUAUUUUUGUUAUGUAUGUCAAUGCAAAUGUGUUCAUGGAUCAUAAGACGUGUCCUUUAUUUUAAACUAAUAGGAUAUGAUGUUGUUUUCUUCCUAACAUCUAGCUGCGUCUUAUUUGCUCACUAAACCGUAAAUACAGUAUGUUGUGAUCCUUUGAGGAGGAGUAAAAUAAUUACAAUUCUGUUGCCGUGGAAACAUGGUGUUUUGUUUAUUCAAACCUUUGUGUGAUCAUAACAAUGAAUGGAAACUUUAAAUAUAUUCCUCUUUAGACUGUUGUCUUAACGAGGAUCUGCUGAUU